CCAGCAGCCGCGGUAAUUCCAGCUCUAAUAGCGUAUAUUAAAGUUGUUGCAGUUAAAAAGCUCGUAGUUGGACUUUGAGGUCGGGCGUGCUGUCGGGCUUUGCUCGGACGGCGCUACCGGCUUCUUUCUUCUGGGGACCACGCUCUCCUUCACUGGGGGGCGCUGGGACGCAGAUCGUUUACUUUGAAAAAAUUAGAGUGUUCAAAGCAGGCCAUCGCUUGAAUACAUUAGCAUGGAAUAAUGGAAUAGGACUCCGGUCUUAUUUUGUUGGUUUCUAGGACCGAAGUAAUGAUUAAUAGGGAUAGUUGGGGGCGUUUGUAUUCCGUUGUCAGAGGUGAAAUUCUUGGAUUUACGGAAGACAAACUUCUGCGAAAGCAUUCGCCAAGGAUGUUUUCGUUAAUCAAGAACGAAAGU
rnacentral:rRNA from 1 species